rnacentral:rRNA from 1 species
GAUGAACGCUGGCGGCGUGCCUAAUACAUGCAAGUCGAGCGAACAGACGAGGAGCUUGCUCCUCUGACGUUAGCGGCGGACGGGUGAGUAACACGUGGAUAACCUACCUAUAAGACUGGGAUAACUUCGGGAAACCGGAGCUAAUACCGGAUAAUAUAUUGAACCGCAUGGUUCAAUAGUGAAAGACGGUUUUGCUGUCACUUAUAGAUGGAUCCGCGCCGCAUUAGCUAGUUGGUAGGGUAACGGCUUACCAAGGCGACGAUGCGUACCCGACCUGAGAGGGGGAGCGCCCACACGGGACUGGAGACCGGGCCCGGCCCCCGGGGGGGGGAGCCGUAGGGAAUUUUCCCGAAAGGGGGGAAGCCCGGAGGGAGAACCCCCGCGGGAUGGAUAAAGGUCUUGGGAUCUAAAACCUUUUUUAUGGGGAAAAAAAAAAUGUGAAAGAAACAGUACGUGUCUGGAGGUUCCCUAACAAGAAGGCCCGGCCAAACCCCGUC